rnacentral:rRNA from 1 species
UAUGGCCUUACCAACCUGAACAUGCCCAAUCUUAUCUGAUCUCAGAAGCUAAGCAGGGUUGGGCCUGGUUAGUACUUAGAUGGGAGAAACUUGGUGAGCACCAGCUCCAAGCCAGGU